ACAGGACUUAUGGAAGGCUGGUCUCCCAUGGGACGCUGAACUUCCUCCAGAACUACUCAAUUCAUGGGUCUUAUUCCGCAACAGUUUGCAAGAUAUUAAACGACUUCGUUUUCCUCGUUGGCUAGGUAUACGAGUGGGCUCUUUGGUGCAUUUACACGGCUUUUGCGAUGCUAGUCGUAAAGCGUAUGCAGCAGUCUAUAUGUUCAAACGAUUGAAAAAGGUGGUACAUCCCGCACAGCUCUUAUUUCAGCAAAGACGAAGAUAGCACCAAUUAAGGAUGUGACGAUGCCACGCCUCGAACUGUGUGGUGCUCAUCUUCUAUCCAAGGCGAUGGACAACGUACGUCAAGCCUUAGGCCUACAGGACGCCCCAUGUACAUAUUAGUGUGAUUCCACUAUUGUUUUAUGCUGGAUACGCAAACCACCAUCCACGUUCAAACAAUAUGUAUCCAAUCGGGUAGCUUACAUCCAAGCCAAUUCAGACAUUAACGCUUGGAAGCACAUUCGCUCGGAAUCAAAUCCAGCCGACUGUGCAAGCAGAGGCCUAUCUCCCGCCGUCUUAGCAGAUAAUCAACUUUGGUGGACCGGACCGACGUGCAUUCACCAAGGCGUGGGGGAAAUGCGCUUACCUUCUUUGACGGAGGAGGAGGAGGAGCACCUCUCCAUUGCUGAAUCUCGUGUGGCAUCCAUCUUCGUUUCUAGAGCUAAUUACCAGUGGAUUAUGACAUCCACGAAAGACAACAGGAUACCCCUCAUAGAGAAAUUUUGCAAAUUGAGUCGUUUACUUAACACCACUGUUUGGUUAAGGCGAUGGUUACCGAAAUACCGCGGUUAAAGGAACGGUAUAGUUCCUGUCGCAGAUCAGCACUGGGAUUUACUUCUGCAUAUUCGACCAGCACAAGGUCGCAUUGAAAUCUUAGCACUCAAUCCUUUCUUGGACGCAGACGGCAUACUGAGAGUAGGUGGUCGACUCGCAAACUCCGACUUAAGUGAAGAUCAGCGACAUCAAACUAUAAUUCCGCGUGGGGCCAUGGCUUAUUUACUAGUCGCUGAUGCUCAUACACGUUGCUUACAUGGUGGUAUACAACAAAUGCUUCAGUUUCUUAGACAACGCUUCUGGCUUAUAGGCGCACGGGCGCAAGUAAAGUCUUUCAUCUGGCUUGCACUACAUGUCGUAGGCAUCUUCAAAUUAUACAACGUCAACAAAUGGCUUCGCUCCCGAAAGACCGUGUACUAGUGGCCCCACCAUUCUCUCGUAGUGGCUUGGAUUACUGCGGGCCAUUCCAUGUACGUGUGGGAACACAUCGCGCCACCCCGACUACAAAAACCUAUGCUGCCAUAUUUAUUUGUAUGACGUCACGAUCGGUUCACAUUGAACUGGCAGAGGACUUGAGUACACAGGGGCUAAUCGUCAAGUGCAGGAAGACUUAAAGGCUUGGGUAACAGCACAUGCUCAACAACAUCUGGCAGCUGAAGGUACAUGUUGGAAGUCCAUAACACCUUCCGCACCUCAUCACGGUGGUCUAUGGGAGGCAGCAGUUCGUUCAGCUAAAAAGUAUCUGCUGAGGAUAAUGGGCAGCCAGACGUUGCGUUACACUGAAUUGUCUACUCUCCUGACUCGCAUCGAGGCGUGUUUAAGUUCGAGACCACUGAUAGCUCUCUACGAUGAUCCUGAAGGAGGGAUAGCUCUAACACCGGGUGACUUCCUGAUCGAACAACCACUCAAUUGUCGUCCAGAUCCUCCAUUGCCUGAAGCUCCAGAAAACUGUCUUCGAUAUUGGCAACGCCUCCAGAAAAUGUUGGAGCAUUUUUGGCGCCCCUGGCAAUCCGAAUAUCUAAACACUCUUCAGAACCGGACCAAAUGGACUAGAUCGGAACCCAAUGUUCAGCGUGGAGAUGUAGUUCUUAUACGUGGUGAAAAUUUGCCACCAUCGGUUUGGGGUAUGGGACGAGUGAUUGACGUUCACCCGGGCAGUGAUGGGUUGGUGCGUACCGUGACGAUAGAGUACAAUACCAACCAGUGAAUGUAAAUGUAAUUUUACCAUAUUUCAACUAUAGACAUACCUAUAUGUAUGUAGAUAUGUAUCAUAUGGCGUGAUGCUACAAUCCGUUAACCAAAUAUGUAUUUAAUGAGAAACUCAAUAAAGAAGCGGCCUAUUUCGUGACAGACUGGUGUAGCAAUCAUACGAGCUUUUCAAUUAGCGGAAUUUUAGGACAACUCUUAUACAAGAGGUAUUUUAAGGUAGGAAAGUAACAACAGAUCCAGAUCAAUAUGAAAAGGCUCGACAAGAUAACAUCGUCAGGCUAAGGACAAAAAGAGACGCAGA
rnacentral:misc_RNA from 1 species